rnacentral:rRNA from 1 species
GACGAACGCUGGCGGCGUGCUUAACACAUGCAAGUCGAACGAAGUGGCGAACGGGUGAGUAACGCGUAAUCAACCUGCCCUUAAGAGGGGGACAACGGUUGGAAACGACUGCUAAACCCGCAUACUGAAGGCGGGGAUUGCGUCGGAUUAGCUAGUUGGAGGGGUAACGGCCCACCAAGGCGAUGAUCAGUAGCCGGUCUGAGAGGAUGAACGGCCACAUUGGGACUGAGACACGGCCCAGACUCCUACGGGAGGCAGCAGUGGGGAAUCUUCCGCAAUGGACGAAAGUCUGACGGAGCAACGCCGCGUGAGUGAUGACGGCCUUCGGGUUGUAAAGCUCUGUUAAUCGGGACGCGGUACCGGAAUAGAAAGCCACGGCUAACUACGUGCCAGCAGCCGCGGUAAUAC